AGGCCAAAGAGAGCAAGAAUGCUCACCCUUUCCCCCUCCCCUGACAAAUCUGAUUUCAAACAGCCUGCGGCUUCCGCUAACCUCUGAUUUUCUGAUUCUCUCGGUACAUUCCGCAGACUUGGCAUCCGGCGAGACGGCAAACGGCCUCAGGAACCAUCUGACGUGGGCAUAAAUACUUUCCACGGAACGUACGUCUUGGCACGACAACAAACAACAAAGGGUGAAUAUCCAGAGCGCUCAAUGAAUCACACCGAGAAGAGGAAGAGGAAGGAGAAGUGGGCCAGAACGUUUUCAUCUUCAAGAGGCCAUCCCAACGCUCCGAGUCAUGUCUGGUCAAAGUGCAUCUCGAGCGUCCUGCUGGCAGAACGUCACGCGUCCAUCUGCGGCCCCCAAAUUACACAUCAGCCAGGCAGACGGACUCCCUGGGACUUAAAGCGGGUCUGCAUGCCAUGGCACCAUGCUGCCUCUCACAGGUCAGUUGUGAUACUACAACGGACAUCUGCUCUGUCAGUGGAGAUGAUGAUGGUGCGUGCGUUGAUCAACUCGAUCUCAUCACACACAUCACACAAGUGCGAUCACGUCGUCGUCCGCAAACAAUGGGGUACAUGCGGAUUCCGGUCUAACCUCAUCCAUCAGCCUCUCCGUCACGAAUGCAAAGAGGAAAGGGCUUAGAGUUGAUCCAGCCCAACCUCCACCUUCAACUCAUCCGUCACACCGGCAGCGCACUUCACUACUGUUCUGCUACCCGAAUACCGAGUGUCCGGCACUACUCGAACUGUAUUUCCCUGUCGCUCCAGACUUCCUCACGCAGUACCACAGUUUCCUUCCGGGUGCCCUGUCAUCGGCUUUCUCUCGAACGAUAAAGACACAAUGCAGAUCCUUCUGAUUGUCUGUGUCCUUAUCUGUCACCACCCUCAAGGCAAAUCUCCAGCACAACGCUUCUUCGGCAUGGAACCAUACUACUGUUCUGAGUUUAGCUUCCACUGCCACGAUCACUUUACCGUAACUUCAUUCAAACUAUAGUUUCUGGCCAACGUUUCUUCCGUUCCUCUGGCAUCUUCUCACCCUGAAGAAUUACAUGAACCAACACGGUCAAAAACUCUCCGAGAUGCUUCCGUACCUCGUCAGGACCCACUCACUGCCUUUUUCAUUUUUCAUCCUGGGCAGGACAGUAAGAGAAAAUAGGACAGAUGCAUUGAGCAACCAGGGAAGGGGCACAAGAACAAUGGGCAAUACAACAACAGGGGCUGAUAAUGAUAAUAAUCUCUCGGUGACAGCAAUGUCGACAAUGAUAACCCGAUCCCAACACCACUGUCCCGUCCUCACCACGACCGGUAACAAGUAGCUAAAUGUGAAGCCCCACCUCCAGAAGGAGGGAGCACUGAUCAGUCCCUGUAUCACAUCGCAGCUCAGGUCCACGUCUGUGUUCUUUGCGUGCCCUCCCCAUGCUUGCCUGCAUUUUUUUCCUACCUACUCUGUAGGUUAGGGUCAUUGAAGACUGAAUGAAAGUGUGCAUGCUAUCUGCCGCGAUGUAUGCUAAUCUGUCUUUUGAGCAACGAACAGGCCUCAGCGCUUACCGUAGGUGUCGGGUUGGAGCACCUGCCCGCCAGCCGCACAGCUGCAGUACAGCUCUGUCACUCACUUAACACCGCAUCUGUAUCGUUGCGAUUCACCCCCCCCCCCCCCCCCCGGCCCCCUUCGGCUCAGGUGAUACGGAACCCAUGACGAGCUUCCAGGCAAGAGAUCAAAAGACGCUGACUGAUAAGAGCGUGAGGUCACUCCAAUGAGCCGGCAAGGCUAAUUGUCUAACCCUCGACUCCUAGCGCUUGGCAUUAGCCUGCGCCCCUCGGGUUCAACGGCGGGCCAAGAAAAUAGCAGAGAGAAAGAAGGUAAAGCGGAGGACUUCUCGCAAACAGAUGUCAGAGGAGGAAAAAAGAAAAUCCCUCACGUAAGCUUUUGGCGGUCUACCCUGUGAUCACGCGAUGCCUGUCAAAGAAGCCAUUGAUGCGGUGAGGGCUGAGAUAACAGUCGACUGUCGGGAAUGGUGCCGGGCAGAGGUGAUGAAAGUACACACACAAGAAAAAGUCCAGAUACUUGUGUAAAAAAAAAAUUAUAUAUAUAUAUAUAUGGCGGCCCGGUAGUCCAGUGAUGGCACGUCGGCUUCACAGGGCAGAGGUACCGGGUUCGAUUCCAGCUCCGGCCUCCAUG